UAAAAAUAGCUAAGAAAAAAAGUAAUUGUGAUCGAUCAGUCUGGAAAAGGUUAUAAAGCCGUUUCCAAAGCUUUGGGACUCCAGCGUACCACAGUGAGAGCCAUUAUUCACCAAUGGCGAAAACAUGGAACAGUGAUAAACUUCCCAGAAGUGGCCGGCAGACCAAAAUUACCCCUAGAGCGCAGCGAAGACUCAUCCGAGAGGUCACAAAGGACCGCACAAGAACAUCCAAAGAACUGCAGGCCUCACUUGCCUCAGUCUAGG